rnacentral:sRNA from 1 species
CGAUGAUCCAGUAGAUGAGGCUCUGGAACAUGGCGUCCAGCAAUCCGUAGCUGAAGUAGAGCAGGAAGGGCCCCGCGUACCGCCGCCCAUCCUUGAAAUCGAUGAGCCUCUCCCCCCAAUUGCCGUCGGCGUACGGGACGUGGUUGGCGAGGCCGCCGGCCAGAUGGCGGUGCCGAGCACGGCGACGGCGGCGACCCCGCACAGGCCCCUCCUCCUCCUGCUGGAGGAUCCGAAUCCGAAGUCGAGGAAGUAGCCGAUGGCCGCGGCAGCGAGCAUCUGGGCGCCCCAGUAGAAGACGUUGUUGAGGCCCUUGGUGCGGCAGGUGAAGAGGCGGCCAUUGACGUUGUUGAACUGGUAGGUGUAGAAGAAGUUGCUGGCCCAUGCGGCGGGGAGGACGAGCAGCAUCCUCCAGUUGGCGAACAGCUUGAGGAUCUCCCACCCCUCGGUGGACACGGAGGAGUAGCUCAUCCUGGUGGCGCGGCUGCCGUCGUGGCGUCGUUGACGCUGGCGGCGUCGGCGGCGCGGUGGUAGUUGAGGGAGAAGGGGAGGAGGCCACCGAGGACGCCGCCGAGGUUGAAGAGGCACCAGAAGAGGGAGAUGUAGGAGCCGCGGCGGGACGGGGGUGGGUAUGACGUCAUGAUGGCGCCCUGCGCGGCCCAGAGGAGUCCGGCCCCGACGCCGAGGAGGGCGCCGGCGGUGACGGGGAAGGCCUGGCGGGAGGGGUGGUGGUUGUAGUAGAGGAAGGAGGCGGCGUAGAGCGGGUAGGUGAGGGCGCCGGCGAGGAGGGUGACGCGCGGGCCGAGGAGGUUGUGGGCGGCGCCGCCGAGGACGCCGAAGACGGCGAAGCAGGAGUAGAGGGCGGUGUUGGCGUUGUCGGCGGUGGAGUGGUCCAGCUGCCCGCCGCCGCCGAGCCCGGUCAGGGCGUUGAACAUGCCAGGGCAGCAGAAGCACACCAACCCGAUCAGGGACACCUGCACCAGCGGCGAGUUGUACCGCAGCUUCCCCGUCGCCGCCGGCGACGACUCCACCUCCGCCGUCACGGC